CAACCCUCAAGCCCCCUGUGGACUUGGUGUUGGGGACCGGCGACAGCCUCCUGUCGCCGCCCCCUAAAUGAAUUGGCGGCCCCGUCGCGGCCCUCCUCUGCGUAGUAGCACACACCUCGCAACAGGAGCCCGUCGGUGGCCACUGCCGUAAAACACCCAACUUUUUCAGAG
rnacentral:misc_RNA from 1 species